rnacentral:rRNA from 1 species
CAGUCGCCGCGGGAAUACGAAGGGGGCUAGCGUUGCUCGGAAUGACUGGGCGUAAAGGGCGCGUAGGCGGCGAUCAAAGUCAGGCGUGAAAUUCCUGGGCUCAACCUGGGGGCUGCGUUUGAUACUUGAUUGCUAGAGUGGGGAAGAGGGUCGUGGAAUUCCCAGUGUAGAGGUGAAAUUCGUAGAUAUUGGGAAGAACACCGAUGGCGAAGGCAGCCCCCUGGGCCAAUACUGACGCUCAUGCACGAAAGCGUGGGGAGCAAACAGGAUUAGAUACCCCGGUAGUCCCUGUCUCUUAUCC